rnacentral:misc_RNA from 1 species
GUGAAUCAUCGAAUCUUUGAACGCAAAUUGCACUCUCUUCGGAGAGUAUGCCUGUUUGAGGGUCAGUAUUAAUAAACAUCGGUGUGUUGCUUCUUUCUGACGCUUCGGAGUUAGGGUCAUCUUACUAUCCUUUAGGUUUUUAGAGGCUUACAAUUGAUUUUUUUUGUGCAUUUUAGUUGUAUAUCAAUUCUUUUUUUUAUUCGUUUGUCUUAAUGCUUAAAAUAAUAUUAAAUGCGACAAUAUUGUGUGGUUUCGUGUUUAUAAAAUUU